UGGGAAGGACGACCUUCCUGCCCAUCAGCACACCAGCCGCGGGGACGACCCUG
rfam:Bradyrhizobium sp. AS23.2 Bradyrhizobium_AS_23.2_c114, whole genome shotgun sequence.